GGCGGAAUGCGAGGGCGUUGCGUAGCAACCGAUGCUGUGUUCGUGAUAAAAGUCGGUGCGUGAGGACGCGGAUUUGCCUGAUCGUGGCUUUAAAAAUCUCGAGAAGAACUUGUGCAACUAAUACUCUACAUAUUGUGUCUAGAUGGACAUGGAAUAAACAAUGUGAUACUGUAGAAUACUUUACUACUCAAGACAAUUGUCUGGCCUGAACUUUCAUGAAAAUUGAUUUCACAUACUGAAGUCAAAAUUGAAGGUAAAAAACCCCUAAAGCAAAAAACUGGUUUGGCAGCACAUCAGCACUGAAAAUUCCCAGCACUGUUAUAUUUAUUGGUUUCAGACUACAGAAAGAUAUGGGAUUUCUUCCCGAUUUCCUUUAUGUUUAAAGAUACUAUAGGUAAUGUCUUAUUCUUUAAUGAAAUGGCCGUCUUUGUGUAAGACUUACUUCCUCAUGGAUUUUUCUGUUAAUCAACAUAGGCAUUUGAUUUCGUCCUAAUUAUCACAACAAUGUAGAUUAAUAGUUGUAUAGGUUGUAAUAGUUUACCAGUUACUUUCAGGGUCAUGUCUAUGGCAUACAAUAUGGUUUCUUUGAGCCAUAGAGAAAAUGAGAACAGAAGAAUGAAAAUCACCUAAGAAAGUAAUGAUUCAUUUUUGGCUCAUGGAAUGAACAAAGCCACUUACUUUCAUCAAAACAAAAAAAUUAUAUUUGUCUGUCUUGUUUAUAAUCAGCAUCUCUUUUAGACAUUCAAAAAUAUUUGCUUUUAUUUGUGCUAAUGCUGUCUAUUGAAUAAGCUGUGAAUUCUAGGCUGUUUUUACAUUUCAUCAUCAUGGUCAGUAUUUCAUUUGAAAUCCAAUUUGUAUGUGUGCUGAUGACAUAAAAAAAUAUUGAACCACAGGCUAGUAAUUUAUUGGCUGCACACUUCACUGACAUGUUCCAUUCAUAAGAGACAGAUAUUCUAAAAUGUACUGUACUGUUGCACAAUACUGUUUCCAGUUACAGUCAGAGAGAAUAUUUUCAUCCCAACAAUCUCCCUCAACUAACAGUUUAGUGACCCAGGGACAUUCACCUUUAUCAGGCAAACAGAAAUCCCUAAUCGUUAAUCUCAGGCACAUGCCCACUUCUCGUUCUUCUCAUCUGCAGUGUUAUUUUAAGCAACCUGCAAAUCUAUUUCCCCAUUUCCUAACUACAGUAUGAGUUUUGCCCUCACACUAGCAGGAGAAACCUCUGGAUGGGAGGAAAGCAGCCCAGAGGAAAUGUGCGAUGGUUUCCGCAUGGCCUCCCAAGACAGCAGUAGCACUAAAAAGAGGAUGCAAGGAAAAUUUGUGUGCUUCCAGGAUGUGGUCAGUGGACGUCUGAGGCCAUCCUCCCCCAAAAAGCAGCUAUAAUGAUUAGUGGGACCCCCAGGAAAAAUAAAUCUUGCGGUUCCAUUGCACAAUCAGUCAAGUUGGGCCAGGGAUGCACAGCACAGUUUUAAAUUAUGCGAGACUUCCUGUAAUGCUCCUCUGAUGGAUCCUAUAGCUGAAAGGAGCAGGAAAGCAUGAGGUCAGUCUGACUAGACAAACUGAAUAUUUGUACCUGCUGAAAAUGACCUGCUCUUACAUUGUUGGAGAAAACAAUGUAUGUUGUGUAGUUCAUAACCUGAACGUUACUACUGUAUAGACAUUGUUAUUCAAUAAAAAGGCAAGUAAUAUUCUUCUACUAAUCUUGAUUCUGCAAUAAACUGAUUAGUUUACAUUUUACUUUUUUUAAACCUCUUCUUGCUUCCUAAUGCAAGUGUUCAAGAUUCCAACUUUGAAAUUCCUGUUUCAUCUGUUUGUACCUGCACCUAACAUUUUCCAGGUUUUCUAGUGUUCCUACCAGUUACUUCACACUACUAACCAAAUUAUUGUUUUACUCAUUCCUGGUAAUGACCUUUGGCCUGUUUUGGAUAUGAUGAAUGAUUUUACAUUUUAUAACCACCUCUUAAUGCUAACCAAAAAUCUUUGAAAUCCUACAAAUGUAGACCACAUGUGUGUUGACUCUGGCCUAAAAUCAUAUCUAGAACAGAAAGCGUACACCCUACAGACUGGAUAUCUUGAGUUCUAGGUGAAAGAGACUGCAUUUCUCUCUCUCUCCUGUCAAUCACAGUGACACUGUGAUACAGUCAAAGGUGUCUGUGAGUUUAUGU